UACAGAGGUGGCAAGCGUUGUUCGGAAUUAUUGGGCGUAAAGGGCGCGUAGGCGGCUUGACAAGUCAAAGGUGAAAUCCCUCGGCUCAACUGAGGAACUGCCUUUGAAACUGUCUGGCUUGAGGCCGGGAGGGGGUAGCGGAAUUCCCAGUGUAGCGGUGAAAUGCGUAGAUAUUGGGAGGAACACCAGUGGCGAAGGCGGCUACCUGGACCGGUUCUGACGCUGAUGCGCGAAAGCGUGGGUAGCAAACAGG
rnacentral:rRNA from 1 species